GCUCACUUUUAACAUAUGCUAAAAUUAGAACAAUACAGAGAAAAUUAACAUCAGUUCUGUGCAGUGAUGAUACUCAAAUUUAUGAAGUAUUCCAUAUUUUU
rnacentral:snRNA from 1 species